rnacentral:tRNA from 1 species
GCCCGGAUAGCUCAGUCGGUAGAGCAUCAGACUUUUAAGGAUAGCCAAGGUAUCUGAGGGUCCAGGGUUCGAGUCCCUGUUCGGGCG